rnacentral:rRNA from 1 species
CUUGACAUCCAGAGAAUUUAGCAGAGAUGCUUUAGUGCCUUCGGGAACUCUGAGACAGGUGCUGCAUGGCUGUCGUCAGCUCGUGUUGUGAAAUGUUGGUUAAGUCCGCAACGAGCGCAACCCUUAUCCUUUGUUGCCAGCACGUAAUGGUGGGAACUCAAAGGAGACUGCCGGUGAUAAACCGGAGGAAGGUGGGGAUGACGUCAAGUCAUCAUGGCCCUUACGAGUAGGGCUACACACGUGCUACAAUGGCGUAUACAAAGAGAAGCGACCUCGCGAGAGCAAGCGGACCUCAUAAAGUGCGUCGUAGUCCGGAUUGGAGUCUGCAACUCGACUCCAUGAAGUCGGAAUCGCUAGUAAUCGUAAAUCAGAAUGUUACGGUGAAUACGUUCCCGGGCCUUGUACACACCGCCCGUCACACCAUGGGAGUGGGUUGCAAAAGAAGUAGAUAGCUUAACCUUCGGGAGGGCGUUUACCACUUUGUGAUUCAUGACUGGGGUGAAGUCGUAACAAGGUAGGCGUAGUGCU